rnacentral:rRNA from 1 species
GAUGAACGCUGGCGGCGUGCCUAAUACAUGCAAGUCGAGCGAACAGACGAGGAGCUUGCUCCUCUGACGUUAGCGGCGGACGGGUGAGUAACACGUGGAUAACCUACCUAUAAGACUGGGAUAACUUCGGGAAACCGGAGCUAAUACCGGAUAAUAUAUUGAACCGCAUGGUUCAAUAGUGAAAGACGGUUUUGCUGUCACUUAUAGAUGGAUCCGCGCCGCAUUAGCUAGUUGGUAAGGUAACGGCUUACCAAGGCAACGAUGCGUAGCCGACCUGAGAGGGUGGUCGGCCACAAUGGAGCUGAGACACGGACCAGACUCCUACGGGAGGCAGCAGUAGGGAAUCGGCCGCAAUGGGCGAGAGCCUGACGGAGCAACGCCGCGUGAGAGAUGAAGGUCUUCGGAUCGGAAAACUCUGUUAUGAGGGAAGAACAAAUGUGUAAGUAACUAUGCACGUCUUGACGGUACCUAAUCAGAAAGCCACGGCUAACUACGUG